rnacentral:tRNA from 1 species
GCGGGUGUGGCGGAAUGGCAGACGCGCUAGAUUCAGGGUCUAGUGUUCUUUAUAGGACGUGGGGGUUCAAGUCCCUUCACCCGCA